GGGUCAGUAGGGUGGUCGUGCCACCGGUACGUACUGGUCUCACCGAUUCCUCCUUCCUGAAGAACGGUAAUGCCAUUAAUUUGGUGUUGCGGGGAAACAGGACUGUUACUUUGAAAAAAUUAGAGUGUUUAAAGCAAGCUAACGCUUGAAUACAUUAGCAUGGAAUAAUGAAAUAGGACGAUCGAUCCUAUUUUGUUGGUUUCUAGGAUUGACGUA
rnacentral:rRNA from 1 species